AAUGACUGGGAGGAGCUUCCCUGGUCCCUCAGUAGUGCCACGCCCCCAUAAACCAGGCGAAAAUGGAGGCUCAGCUGGCCCAGGGCUCCUCCAAGCCACCUUGGGCUAGGAAGCCAUCUGCUGGGAGGGUGGUGAGAAAGGAAAACAGAGGAGGCUGCAGAGAGGGACCUGGAGGCUGCCCUCCUACGAGCCGGGAAACCUGCCCAGGUCUUAGGGGAAAUUUGGACACAGGGAGAACGCAACGUGAAGAUGAAUGCAGAGAUUGAGGUGAUGUUUCUACAAGCCCAGGAACACCGAAGAUUGCCAGCAAACCACCAAAAGCUACAAGAGGCAUGAACAGAUUUCCUCAGAAGAAAGCAAUGCUGCCGACACCUUCAUCUUGGGCUUCUAGCCUCCAGAACUAGGAGACAAUAAAUUUCUGUUAGUUAA